UGAAAAUUUGAUGUUAGCCUUACUUCUUACAAGAAAGAAAAUAUUAGGUGAUUUCCAACAAAAUGACUUUUCAGAUUUGUCAUUCUUUUCUAAUUUUGAGUGUUUUAUGCAUUUCUUUGGUCUUGGUUUCAGGAAUCAAUAAUAGUUUGGAGACUCCAACAUUAGAGACUGACAAAAAAACAUGUUUCAUUGGUGGUCCAGGACCUCCACCAUAUUGUUGUGUAUCAGAUUGCACUUCAAAUUGUCUAGCAGAUUGUGCAGCAAAAGGAUAUACUCAAAGUGGAGCUUGUUUUAAAGUAAUUAACAUGAUUCUAUGUUGUUGUUAUGUAUCAUGAACUCUAUUGUAUUAUUGGAAUCAAGAAAUAAAUAAAAGAUGUACUUGAAGUAAGCUUUUUGAAUAAUAAUUAUUUCAUGACUUUGUGUAAAAUUGGAAAACCUUGAUUUAUUAAUUAAUGAAUGCAGUUUAAAAUGAAA